rnacentral:rRNA from 1 species
GUGCCAGCAGCCGCGGUAAUACGUAGGUGACAAAUGUUAUCCGGAAUCACUGGGCGUAAAGGGUCUGUAGGCGGUUACUUAGGUCUGAUGUGACACCUCUCGGCUUAACUGAGAGAGCGCAUUGGAAACCGGGUGACUAGAAUCACGUCGAGGUCGGUGGAAUUCCCGGUGUAGUGGUGGAAUGCGUAGAGAUCGGGAGGAACCUCGAAAGCGAAGGCAGCCGGCUAGACGAUGAUUGACGCUGAGGGACGAUAGCGUGGGUAGCAAACAGGAUUAGAAACCCUAGUAGUCC